rnacentral:tRNA from 1 species
UCCUUGGUGGUCCAGUGGUUAAGACUCUGUGCUUGCAGUGCAGGAGGCCUGGGUUCAAUCCCUGGUCAGAGAA